rnacentral:tRNA from 1 species
AGGAUUUUAAGUUAAUAAAACUGUUAACCUUCAAAGUUAUUAAUAUUAAAAUUUAAUAGAUCUUA